CUUUGCCUCAGCCAGCCGCUCCUGGAAUUUCUUCUUGAAGAAGAGGGCUUGCAGUCGCUGCUGGUAGUGGUCGAUCCUGCAGACAAGGAGGUCAAUGUCACUCUUCUCUGGGAUGAACUUGAGGAGCUGCAAAGAGCAGGCGCAAGUCACACAAGCAACUGGGUGAAGACAAUGAGGAUGAAGACCUUUAUGAUGAUCCACCUCCACUCAAUGAACAGUAUCUUUUAAUGAUUUUCUUUUUUUUUCUGAUGGAGUCUCACUCUGUUGCCCAGGCUGGAGUGCAAUGGCACCA